rnacentral:rRNA from 1 species
CAGUCGCCGCGGGAAUACGUAGGGUGCAAGCGUUAAUCGGAAUUACUGGGCGUAAAGCGUGCGCAGGCGGUUUGUUAAGACAGAUGUGAAAUCCCCGGGCUCAGCCUGGGAACAGCAUUUGUGACUGGCAAGCUAGAGUGUGGCAGAGGGGGGUGGAAUUCCGCGUGUAGCAGUGAAAUGCGUAGAUAUGCGGAGGAACACCGAUGGCGAAGGCAGCCCCCUGGGCCAACACUGACGCUCAUGCACGAAAGCGUGGGGAGCAAACAGGAUUAGAUACCCGAGUAGUCCCUGUCUCUUAUCC